GGUCAUUGAUCUAAACUUUUACUAAACGCAUAACACUACAUCAACGGAAAAGAAUGGAUUCUGUAAUAACGGGAAACACAACCGAUAGGAUUAACAAUGCAUUGGCAGCACUGAGGAGUGAAAUGCUUGACCUCAGACAACAAGAUGGCAAACUGAUGAAACAGCUUAUUUGUAUCAACGAAAACAUUAAAACUUUGUCGAAGAGGCCGAUUCCUGCCAGAACAAUUCGAAAGAGAAUGUCUUUGGUGAAAGGGCGAAGGAAAUUCAUCAAUCCAAAUGAAUCCAUUCCAGAAGAAGAUUCUAGUUCUGCAGAUUCCGACAGUGACGACAGCGUUUCUGGUACAGAGAACUACCAAUGAUGGAGGAACCUGGUAGCGGUCACAUGACGCUUCUUCAAAUGAAUACUUAAGGGGAGUCAAUUUUCUCGCUUAAAUGACAGGACGGAACCAUUCCUAACUAGGAACUCUCUAGCUUUGAAGAAUCUUCUAGCUAACAGACAUGGUCCAUCGGGAUCUGGAAUCCAUGACGACAUUUAGGUUUCCGUACCGGAUCUGUGCAUCACACAGAGGAUUCUUGCCAAUAUCUGACACUGUUGGACACCGCAUUGUCAUAUUUUAAACACAGAGGGCAACGAGGCAGCACUGGAUCGUGACUUAACAAUGUGGAAGAACUCAGUCUGGACUUAAAUCGCUGUUUUCUGAAUCAGGCCAUUAUUUUACGGUGUUUUACUGAAGAACAUACAAGAUCUGAAAGAAGCUUAUGUUCAAAUUGCGCUGUAUAGGAAAUGGUUAUUUCUUUCAGAUCUGACAAUGACUUUUAAACUUUGUGUUCGCUCUCAAUGUCUGAAGAGCGAAAAGCGUAAAAACCUUAGUCUUUCUUAUAAAUUACUUUUGUUCACCUCUGUCGAUUACCUGCACGUGUUCGUAUUAUGUUAAUGUAUUUAACAGUGCAUCAGAGGACAAUAGUAAACACAGCACAUUUGUAUAUUUGGUGUGCAGUGCACCUACUAUAUAUAAUUAUGUGCAUUAAUUGGAAUAAAGAUAUGUGUUUGCGUCAUGAAUGUCAAUGCGAAGGUGUGAGAAAUUAUGACAGUAAGGAAGUGAUGUCGAGUGGCAAUAGGGCAUUUUGCAAUUAUUUGUAAACCAAAAAAAUAAA